ACAGCAGCAGCCGCGGUAAUACGUAGGGUGCGAGCGUUAAUCGGAAUUACUGGGCGUAAAGCGUGCGCAGGCGGUUAUGUAAGACAGUUGUGAAAUCCCCGGGCUCAACCUGGGAACUGCAUCUGUGACUGCAUAGCUAGAGUACGGUAGAGGGGGAUGGAAUUCCGCGUGUAGCAGUGAAAUGCGUAGAUAUGCGGAGGAACACCGAUGGCGAAGGCAAUCCCCUGGACCUGUACUGACGCUCAUGCACGAAAGCGUGGGGAGCAAACAGGAUUAGAUACCCGCGUAGUCCCUGUCUCUUAUAC
rnacentral:rRNA from 1 species